GACAAAUCCCCCAGGGGGUAAAGGAAGUGGUAUCUUUGACGAAUCAACCCCCGUGCAGACUCGACAGCACCUGAACCCACCUGGAGGGAAGACCAGCGACAUUUUUGGGUCUCCGGUCACUGCCACUUCACGCUUGGCACACCCAAACAAACCCAAGGAUCAUGUUUUCUUAUGUGAAGGAGAAGAACCAAAAUCGGAUCUUAAAGCUGCAAGGAGCAUCCCGGCUGGAGCAGAGCCAGGGUAUAGAGCGAGUUCCAAGAACCAGGCUAGGAAAUGACACGCUAAGUUUCCUAUUUCUAGCAGCUGCCAAGGCCACCAGCAAGCAUGGGAACCUCUGGGAGUCACAGCUCCUCCGUCUCCAGAGGCCUGGCAGUGGCCAAGUCUAGAAGGACGCGGGUGCCACCUGGUACAGGGUGAGGGUGUGAAUAACAGACCCCGAAGGGUUGCCACCUCGAGCCCCGUGCCUUGUCCAGGAAUACACAGGCUCUUUUGAUGUCAGGUAACUUUGCCAUAUGAUCUUUGUGGUGUACCUGGUAGGUCACACCCUGUGAGUGUGUAGAUGCCUCCUCCCGUGCUGGCUGCUUAAUUUCUUCUGCACUCAUAAUCCUGACCAUCUUGAAGAUCAUCACUGAAAUACUCCUGUGUAAUGUGUGGCUACAAAGUGCUAUCUAAAGAUGCUCUCUCAAACUCAGCUCAUGAAGAUGAGAGGAACAUCACAGGGAACUGUGUGGCUUCUUAGCAGGCAUCAGGGCAGAUACUUAGAAAUUAAAGUUGAAUUUUAGAAACU
rnacentral:lncRNA from 1 species